rnacentral:tRNA from 1 species
GUAAUUAUAGUUUAAUUAAAACAUUAGAUUGUGGUUCUAAAAACAAAAGUUAAAAUCUUUUUAAUUACC